rnacentral:rRNA from 1 species
UACAGGGGGGGCAAGCGUUGUUCGGAAUUACUGGGCGUAAAGGGCGCGUAGGCGGCCCGAGCAAGUCGGGAGUGAAAGCCCGGGGCUCAACCCCGGAACGGCUCACGAAACUGCGGGGCUCGAGUGCGGAAGAGGCAAUCGGAAUUCCCAGUGUAGCGGUGAAAUGCGUAGAUAUUGGGAAGAACACCGGAGGCGAAGGCGGAUUGCUGGGCCGACACUGACGCUGAGGCGCGAAAGCCAGGGGAGCAAACGGG